GCAGGUGGUUCCCUAUGGCUCUAUGGAAAGGUAAUCAGACAACCUGCCUAUAGAACCCUUUUCCUUGCUAUUCCCAAUGUUAGGGCAUUUCCAAAUGUUAUUUUGCUGAAGUGUGGACUGAAAUCCUAACAUUGCCAGUUCCAGAACUAAGAUGUGAUGCUGUGAUACCAGCAGAGCUAACCUACCCACUGGCAAGCAUGCUGCAAGAGGUCUAAAUGCUGCACCAGAUGUCUGUGAAUGGUGUGUAUUAUGCCUGGGAGCUGUGACUUUGGGAGAGACAGCUGUUGUCUCCUACAACUGACAGUGAGGUUUAUUCAUGGGUAGAAAAGCAGUCAUAGCCUGGCUUGCCUUCCCUGGGGUCAGCACAGCUUCAUGGUCUGCGAUGUUCAUUUUCCCUUCCUUGCAGGAGUGAAGAGCAGUGGCUCCUUGUGCUCAUGUUGGAGUUUACAGUAGUUAUGUCUGCAGAGCAGCAAGUGGCUGGCUGAGUAAUAACUGGUUUUGAGGCUGAGAUGAACUGUGAUUAGGCAGUUGAAAACUGACUAAUGCUGCAAACACUUGGGCAACACUUAUGAGAAAUUGCCACAUGUGCCAUCUUCUCUGUUCCCCAAAGGAAGCAGCAUAGGUGGUAGAGUGUGCUCUGCUCAGCUCCUGCACUGGGCUCAGCACUUGCAUUUGUAGGUAUGGAGGAGGCUGAAUACUGGAAGGAGCA